CUAUAGCAUGGCUUUCAGCUGUCAGGAAAAACAGUUUCAGUACUUUUACUUUACACAAUUCUAAAGAGAUGUGGAUAAUUGACCAUUGGUGAUCACAAAUAUUUAGUUUUAUUUGAAGACAGCUUAACAGUUGAGGAGCUAUCACUUACUUCCGGUCUACUUCCGGAAAAAUUGCCUUGAAGAGCAAGUUCUAUACUACAGGAUUAUAAUUUAGACUUUAUGAGAAGUCAUAUUCUAUGAAGAAAUAGGACUGACUACAGUCAACAUGGUCCCUUGUUUGGUAACCUGUUGGCUGCUACCCGUGAAUCUCCCUUUUUACUUCCUUACACAGACCCUCUUGAUUUGAGGGUAACUCCUUCGCUACUUAUCAUGGACUUCAUCCAUUGGUGAAAACUGACGAGAG